rnacentral:rRNA from 1 species
CCUGUACCGAAGCUAACGCAUUAAGUAUUCCGCCUGGGGAGUACGACCGCAAGGUUGAAACUCAAAGGAAUUGACGGGGACCCGCACAAGCAGCGGAGCAUGUGGUUUAAUUCGAAGCAACGCGAAAAACCUUACCAAGACUUGACAUAGUAUGACCACUAUAGAGAUAUAGCUUUCCCUUCGGGGACAUAUAUACAGGUGGUGCAUGGUUGUCGUCAGCUCGUGUCGUGAGAUGUUGGGUUAAGUCCCGCAACGAGCGCAACCCUUAUGAUUAGUUGCCAAUAUUAAGUUAGGAACUCUAAUCAGACUGCCGUGGAUAACACGGAGGAAGGUGGGGAUGACGUCAAAUCAUCAUGCCCCUUACGUCUUGGGCUACACACGUGCUACAAUGGCUAUUACAAAGAGCUGCUAAAUGGUAACAUCAAGCGAAUCUCACAAAGAUAGUCUCAGUUCGGAUUGUGGGCUGCAACCCGCCCACAUGAAGUUGGAGUUGCUAGUAAUCCCGAAUCAGAAUGUCGGGGUGAAUGCGUUCCCGGGUCUUGUACACACCGCCCGUCACGCCACGGAAGUUGGGGGGACCCAAAGUCGGCAAGCUAACCGCAAGGAGGCAGCCGCCUAAGGUAAAACCAAUGACUGGGGUGAAGUCGUAACAAGGUAACCAAGGGCGAA